rnacentral:rRNA from 1 species
UGUUGGUAUCUUAGUGGCGGACGGGUGAGUAACGCGUGGGUAACCUGCCUUACACUGGGGGAUAACACUUAGAAAUAGGUGCUAAUACCGCAUAACAGGGGAAGAUGCAUGUCUUUUCCUUAAAAACUCCGGUGGUGUAAGAUGGACCCGCGUCUGAUUAGCUAGUUGGCGGGGUAACGGCCCACCAAGGCGACGAUCAGUAGCCGGCCUGAGAGGGUGAACGGCCACAUUGGGACUGAGACACGGCCCAAACUCCUACGGAAGGCAGCAG